UUAUAGUCCUAUAUAUGUCUCAUGUAAUUAAAAUUGUUUAAGAAAAUCUGUUGUUGCCGAGUCGUUUACUCGUUAAUAUAGUUACUAUUACACUGUUCCUGUCAUUCUAUACUGAUUUUGCAUUAGGACAUGAUGAAGUUAUUCCUUCCAACAUUUUCUUUUUCUUCCGCGGUGAAGCACAAUAAUAAAAUGAUAUCUACAAAAUCUGCAGUCUAAGAGCAUUCGUAGUAAGCUCUUCAAAUAAGCUUUUUCACCAAAUUAUGCUGAGUUUCCUCAAAAUCACCUCCGCAGCAAGCUCCUCAGUGCUACAGUAAAUUUGGUGAUUGUCAGAUCUGCUCGUUUGGUCUGCGGAGCCAAGCUUCGCUCGUCUCUUCAUAUUUUCUAUUUCCUUAUUCAGCCUUCCCGCGUUCUCGAUCUCCUGAAGCCAAGAAAAGGUCUCAUAGGAUUUGUUCAGAGCAAAUCGAAGAGGCUUGCAUAGCCUGGUUUCUUGGCAAGCUCUUGUUCCAGCUUCUCCACGAGAACCAUCUCUUUUGGCCCCUUUUCUUCUACUUUUGUGUUUGGAAGGUUGGGUUUAUUAUAUCCCCACUGCUUAGAAAUCCAUGUACCUGUACUCUCUGCAACAAGCAGCAGAGGACCUUUCUUGUCAUUCUCGUAUUCGGGUUUUUAAGAAGCUUCAAGGCUGGUAUUCUGGUUUUUAAGAAGCUUCAAGGCUGGUGUCAGAAAGCUCCAUCCUAGCUUAGAUUCAGACCUGCAUUUUGCAUCCGCAGAGAAAACCCAGAUAGGAAAUAAAUUCAUUUGAGCUAUAAAGCUGGUUUUUCUGUGAACUGGGUUGAUCUGGGUUUUACUACAUGGGGUCUACUUGAUUGUAUUUUAUUGGGUUUCUUUGGCCAGAGAUGUGAGAUUGUGGGUUUUGUUUCUUUGUCUGAGAAUAAAGUAUGGCGAAGUGGUUUCAGAGAUCUGGAGUUUGAAAGUUGCCUUUGGAGAUCCCAUCAUAGAAAGGCAGCUGGACAUCUGGAAAAAUGGCCACAAGUCUUAAAGCGAAAUUGUCAAAGAAAACUGUCAUUCUUGAUCCAAAGGUCUGGGAAGUAAUUGGAAUUGCAGUCGGGUUAUUUAUCAUAAUUAUCCUCUGUGUUGUCGUUGUGUCUUACAUCACGGAAGAAAUCAAGGAGAACUAGGGACAGGAUUCCUCUUAGCCAAAUCCCGACUGUUGAAGUCCGAGUGGAGCAAGUAACGACAGAUGAAUUUGUUCCUCGUGAUGGAAUUCUUCUCACCAUUCAUGACAAAUCCAGUGACUAAGAAUCAGAUGAGGUUUUGGUUCAUUCACAAGCUAGAUGGGCGUUGGAGUUGUAUGAGCAUGAGAUUUCUAAUAAAUUUUGGUUUCAUGUGAGAGUUAAAAGUAGCUGACAGUGGUUGUUUUAAAACUAAUAAAAAAUAAUAUUUAUUUGAAGUAGAGAAUAUUU